UACAGAGGGCGCGAGCGUUGUCCGGAAUCACUGGGCGUAAAGGGCGCGUAGGUGGCCACCAUAAGGCCGCGGUGAAAGUUCGGGGGCUCAACCCCGGAUCGGCCGCGGCGACUGUGGGGCUUGGGUACUGUAGAGGCAGAUGGAAUUCCGGGUGUAGCGGUGGAAUGCGUAGAUAUCGGGAGGAACACCAAUGGCGAAGGCAGCUCGCUGGGACGGUACUGACGCUGAGGCGCGAAAGCGUGGGGAGCAAACAGG
rnacentral:rRNA from 1 species